AAUGUAGUUUUGGAGCUCUUGAGUUUGCGCAAAUUUUAGCAAGAGGAGGUGGUUGAUCUCACCAGUGCAGAGAAGGAGAUUUUUGGACGGCAUAGAUUGACCCACAGACUCGUAUGAUGCCUUUCUCUCUCUCUUCCCCAAAUUUUAUUGAUUUUAUCAAGGAGGAGAUGGACUGCGGCUUGUGGGUGUGUGUUUGGUGGGCUGCAGACAAGUGGUGCAGGUGUGUGGCAGAGACUUAGAAAGAAGAGAUGGAUUAUCGAUGUUUUGGGGAUAUGAAGGAAACAGGUAUGUUUGGAGGAGUUUGUUGUAAGUGGUGGACUUGCAUCUUUUAAUUUUUCUUUUUUGAUGACUGAUUAUUGGCUUUGAGUGGUAUAUUUUAUAAUCUCUGUAAUCCUUGUUGGUAUUUUCCAAUUUUGAGAGUUGUUGGAGGCUCUUUUGGUAACUGAAUUUCUGGGUUUUGGUUGGAAAUUCUUGCUUGCUUUGUGAAGUUUUCGAAUUUUGAGUUAUUGGGUAGUUUCAAUUGAUGGGUUUAUCAAUUCUGAAUUUUGAGUUGUUGGGUAGCUUUGUGAAGCUUCUGAAUUUUGAGUUGUUAGGUAGUUUUAAUUGAUGAGUUUAUUAGUUCUGAAUUUGAGUUGUUGGGUAGCUUUGUGAAGUUUCUGAAUUUUGAUUUGUUGGGUAGCUUUGUGAAGUUUCUGAACCAACAACAACAUUCUAGCCUUUAUCCAACACUUAAAAAUCAAAUAUCUUUGCUUGUAAAUAGGAAUAUAUUUGAGAAGAAACCCCUUUUUGGAGCCACUACAGAUUUGUACAUCUAGAAUUAAUUAUCAGAAGAACCUUGUUAGCCAACCUCCAUACAGGAGCUUCCCCACGCCAUCUCCCUUCGUUCCUAACAGAGGGUUAGAUAAUAAAGUCUGUUAGGUGUUGAAUUGAAUUAGAAAUUUGGUGGGUGUUGGAUCAAUAAAUGAAGCUUUUCCAUUUUGAGUAACAGACCUGGGAUUGAAUCAAAUGUAUGCUAAGAAAUCUUGAAAAGUAAGAUGGGUGUGUGGGUUUGUAUGUUUGUAGAGGUGUUGGUGAAUUGGUUCUCAACCUCAUCCAGUACUCACCAAUUAUAAGCAUUACUAGUUGCAACCUGGAAAUAAAUCAUACUACAUUACCCAUUAACUUCAAUUGGGUUUGUGGGUUUGUAUGUUUGUGCUUUUAUUCUCUUUUUUGAUGACUGGGUUUAAGAUGAACUCAGCUUUAAUGUUUGAUUGUUUUUCAAAAAAUAAAAAGGUAUCAAGAUUGCACACAAAGAUCAUAAAAGUUGAGAGAAAAAUCUGUAUGUGCAUUAUAUUGAAUUAAUUUAGUUACAAGAGGCUCUGUCCUUAUAGAUGAGAAUCAGAGGUAAGAAAGAGAAAGAAUGACAUCUAGUAACUAUAUCCACUAAUCUAGUAACUAACUUCAUCUAACCUUACAUGUCUUUUAGUGUCAUUACAGGAGAACAACCUGUAGUUUAGACAGAAUGUCUUCUUCUUCAUUCUGCAGUAACUUCAAUUCUGAAGCAGCUUCAAUUGUUGUUUUGUUCUAAACUUCUUUAGUUAAACUUCAACAAAAGGCUUUAAUGUUUGGUUGUAUUUAUGUCCUCUACUAAUUUGCCUAUCCUUGUGAUCCUUUUGCUGCUGUAUGUAAAGUUGAUUUGCCUAACUUCUUAUCAUAUUGCUGCUUUUUAUGUUAUUGUUAUUAAGGAAUGGAUUCGCAAAUGCAUGGUGAUUGUAACUUCACACAGCUCUUAGAAUAGGGGUCUAUCAUGAAAAUUGAAUUUAUGAUGGACUCUCCAAAAGAUGAAGUGCAUACCCAAUAGUCUCCACAUGAAGUUCAAAUGGAAUCCAUUACUAAGAAGACACAAUGGGGUGGUAAUUUUGGUCUAGAAGAAGACUGUCUCAUUGUGUCUGCAUGGCUCAAUACUCAUUAGAUGCAGUGCAAGGGAAUGAACAAAAACACAAAACAUAUUGGAAUAGAGUUUGGGAGUACUUCAAUAAAAAGACAUUUACAUCUACUCGUAAUGCAAACUCUCCAAUGAAUCGUUGGUCAACAAUUCAACUCCAAACUAAUAAGUUUGUUGGGAUCUUAGCAUCAAUUGAGAUGGUUAAUCCAAGUGGUGUGAAUGAGCAAAACAAGAUUAUUAAGGCAAAGGAAGCGUAUCUAAAGGUCCAAGCUGUUCCAUUCAAAUUUGAUCAUUGUUGGAAUAUCUUGAGGCAUCAACCAAAAUGGUUGGAACUUGUAGCAAAGCCUCAGAAGUCUCAAACGAUAAGAAGAUCAACUGCAACAUCUUCUCCUUCUACUCUUUAAUCAAUACAUCUAGGGGAAGAUGAGGUCUCCCAUGCUUCCUUUGUAGACUUGGAGAGACCACCUGGUAGGAAGGCUGAAAAGAAUGAUUAAAUAAAUGAAAAAGUAAUGAUAGUUUGAUUUUGAAUCUUGAAGGGAUACUGAAUGACAUGGCAGAAAAGAAGAGCAAAAAAUAUGAUGAGAAAAAUGAUGUUCAUGAGAGGGCAUAUUCACAAACUCAAGAACUCAUAGAGAUUAAGAAAAUGAAGCAUCAAGAACUGGUGGAGAUAAAGAAAAUGGAGGUUGAAGAGUUGAUUCGUGUUAAGAGAGAGAAGCUUCAAUUAGAAUGAAUGACGAAAGAAUUGGAAAUUACCAUGAUGGAUACUACAAACUUGGAUCCAGAGCAGCAACAAUGCAUUUGCCAACUUUGCCAAGAACUCAUUCAACAUCAAGAGAAGAGAAAUUGGGGAAUAUUGUUGCGAUGUAGCACACUAGUCAUAUAACCUUUUUGUGCAAGGAUUUUGUUGUUAAGGUGUUUCUAAACUUUUCAGAUUUUGUUGUAGAGGAGCAUGUGCACUAUUUGGUCCAUCCAGAUUUUUGUAAUCUCUCAUAUGUGAUUGGAGUUGUCUUUGUCUAUCUCUUAGCCUCUCUCUUAUUGUUUCUAUCUUGUCAUUACCUUGUUUAUUUUGGUAUUUAGUUAUGCUACUAUUAAGUAUAAAAAAUUAAACAAAUAAAAAACUUGUCAAACUUUGCAAGUUUUAUAAACUAA